AAUUAAUGAUUUUAUCCAUAUAAUCAAAUAAGCUUAAAGUGGUUAAGGGAACUGUGGUUUUGAAUAAUAAUUAAAAAAACACCAUCUCUGAGUUUCAAGACAUGCGCACUAGCUACGACAUCUAGUGACGACACUUGGCGGGCUUUUGGAGCUGCUAGACUAACCGCCAGAACAGCAGAAGAACUUCUAGCUUGCUACAGUGGUCACCUAUUUUGGACUGGCAGGGGGUCUGUCUGUAAAAGAAACUGUCUGGAGAAUAAUGUCAAAACUAAUGACGAACCAACUGGCGAAACAAAUUAACUGGCGCGGAGUGAAUGGGAAGUAUGGCUUUGAACCACUUGCCAUUAAAGAUAUUGUCCUCAAAUCUGCAAAGAAAUGCAAGUACUGCCAGUGUGUCGGACAGAGACAUUGAAAAGUUAAUAAAAAGAUGCAGCCUGCAUCUGACAGAGAUGGGCGAAGAAGAAAGCGGGCCCUAAAGCAAGCAAAUUCUUUCUAAGGGUACACUUACUUGAGGAGGGUCCUGAGUUUUUCUAGUUUUUUUUGUUUUUUGUUGUUGUUUUGCAUUUGUUCAUGCCACAUUUUGCUAGUUCAUAUAAAGCUGUAUGUUAAUGUAAGGGUUC